rnacentral:rRNA from 1 species
CCUACGGGAGGCUGCAGUGGGGAAUAUUGGACAAUGGACCAAAAGUCUGAUCCAGCAAUUCUGUGUGCACGAUGACGUUUUUCGGAAUGUAAAGUGCUUUCAGUUGGGAAGAAAAAAAUGACGGUACCAACAGAAGAAGUGACGGCUAAAUACGUGCCAGCAGCCGCGGUAAUACGUAUGUCACAAGCGUUAUCCGGAUUUAUUGGGCGUAAAGCGCGUCUAGGUGGUUAUGUAAGUCUGAUGUGAAAAUGCAGGGCUCAACUCUGUAUUGCGUUGGAAACUGUGUAACUAGAGUACUGGAGAGGUAAGCGGAACUACAAGUGUAGAGGUGAAAUUCGUAGAUAUUUGUAGGAAUGCCGAUGGGGAAGCCAGCUUACUGGACAGAUACUGACGCUAAAGCGCGAAAGCGUGGGUAGCAUACAGGAUUAGAUACCCCAGUAGUC